rnacentral:rRNA from 1 species
GCCUAGCCCUUAACACAGAUAAUACCAAUACAAUAUUAUCCGCCAGAAGACUACUAGCGAAAAGCUUAAAACUCCAAGGACUUGGCGGUGCUUCAUAUCAACCUAGAGGAGCCUGUCCUAUAAUCGAUACUCCCCGCUAAACCCAACCACCUCUAGCAAGUACAGCCUAUAUACCGCCGUCGAAAGCCUACCUUAUGAAAGAAACAAAGUGGGCACAAUAGUUAAUAACUAAGACGUCAGGUCAAGGUGUAGCACACGAGAUGGGAGAGAUGGGCUACAUUUUCUAAACAAAAAUACGAAUAGCGCAAUUGAAACACAUCCUUGAAGGUGGAUUUAGAAGUAAGACAAACAAGAAAGUUUGUCUUAAACCUGCUCUGAAGCGCGC